rnacentral:rRNA from 1 species
AUACGUAGGGUGCAAGCGUUGUCCGGAAUUACUGGGUGUAAAGGGAGUGUAGGCGGGAUAGCAAGUCAGAUGUGGAAACUAUGGGCUCAACCCAUAGACUGCAUUUGAAACUGCUGUUCUUGAGUGAAGUAGAGGUUGGCGGAAUUCCUAGUGUAGCGGUGGAAUGCGUAGAUAUUAGGAGGAACAUCAGUGGCGAAGGCGGCCAACUGGGCUUUUACUGACGCUGAGGCUCGAAAGCGUGGGGAGCAAACAGGAUUAGAUACCCUGGUAGUCCACGCUGUAAACGAUGAUUACUAGGUGUGGGGGGACUGACCCCUUCCGUGCCGCAGUUAACACAAUAAGUAAUCCACCUGGGGAGUACGACCGCAAGGUUGAA